GUGGGGAAUAUUCCGCAAUGGACGAAAGUCUGACGGAGCAACGCCGCGUGAGUGAUGAAGGUUUUCGGACUGUAAAGCUCUGUUGUUUAGGACGAAAGUGCCUGUUGCAAAUAGUUACAGGUAUUGACGGUACUGAACGAGGAAGCCACGGCUAACUACGUGCCAGCAGCCGCGGUAAUAAGUAGGUGGCAAGCGUUGUCCGGAAUUAUUGGGCGUAAAGAGCAUGUAGGCGGGAAUCUAAGUCUGUUGUGAAAAUGCGGGGCUCAACCCCGUAUUGCGAUGGAAACUGGGUUUCUUGAGUGCAGGAGAGGAAAGGGGAAUUCCCAGUGUAGCGGUGAAAUGCGUAGAUAUUGGGAGGAACACCAGUGGCGAAGGCGCCUUUCUGGACUGUGUCUGACGCUGAGAUGCGAAAGCCAGGGUAGCGAACGGGAUUAGAUACCCGGGUAGUCC
rnacentral:rRNA from 1 species